UACGUAGGGUGCAAGCGUUUGUCCGGAAUUAUUGGGCGUAAAGAGCUCGUAGGCGGUCUGUCGCGUCUGCUGUGAAAACUCAGGGCUUAACCCUGAGCUUGCAGUGGGUACGGGCAGACUAGAGUGCGGUAGGGGAGACUGGAAUUCCUGGUGUAGCGGUGAAAUGCGCAGAUAUCAGGAGGAACACCGAUGGCGAAGGCAGGUCUCUGGGCAUUAACUGACGCUGAGGAGCGAAAGCAUGGGGAGCGAACAGG
rnacentral:rRNA from 1 species